CCCUUAGAUGUCCUGGGCCGCACGCGCGUUACACUGAUGCAUUCAACGAGCUUAUAACCUUGGCCGAGAGGCCUGGGCAAUCUUGUUAACGUGCAUCGUGAUAGGGAUAGAUUAUUGAAAUUAUUAAUCUUGAACGAGGAAUUCCUAGUAAACGCAGAUCAUAAAUCUGCAUUGAUUACGUCCCUGCCCUUUGUACACACCGCCCGUCGCACCUACCGAUUGGAUGGUCCGGUGAAGCCUCGGGAUUGUGGUUCUUGCCGCUUUAUUGUGGCGUGACCGCGAGAACUUGUCUAAACCUUAUCAUCUAGAGGAAGGUGAAGUCGUAACA
rnacentral:rRNA from 1 species